GCAUCGGUGGUUCAGUGGCGAAAAUGCUCGCCUGCCACGCGCCCGGGUUCGAUUCCUGGCCGAUGCA
rnacentral:tRNA from 1 species